rnacentral:tRNA from 1 species
GCUCAUGUAGAUUAAGAUAAAUUGUUAGGCUGUUAACCUUAAGAUGAAAUUGGAUUAAGUGUUUUCUAUGAGCG